rnacentral:precursor_RNA from 12 species
CGUCCGCCGGGGGCUCAGCAGGUGCUUGGUGACUGGAGGACUUAGGUUGCACGUGCGGUGACGGGGCCGCCUUCUAAAUCGUGCGCCUGAAGUCUCCAGAUACCCCCUGCACCUUGCCCUUCCGCGUGUACAU